ACACUGGCUAGAGCGACGGUUCGAAAGGAAGAUGGUCAUUCGACUACUCAUUGCAUCUUCUUGCCAGUGUCUUUUCUUAAAUGGGUAGUCGGA
rnacentral:sRNA from 19 species